AUACGGGGGGUGCAAGCGUUAUUCGGAUUUAUUGGGCGUAAAGAGCGCGUAGGCGGCUUGGUAAGUCAGAUGUGAAAGCCCGGGGCUCAACCCCGGAAGUGCAUUUGAAACUAUCAGGCUUGAGUAUGGGAGAGGGAAGUGGAAUUCCUGGUGUAGAGGUGAAAUUCGUAGAUAUCAGGAGGAACACCGGUGGCGAAGGCGACUUCCUGGACCAAUACUGACGCUGAGGCGCGAAGGCGUGGGGAGCAAACAGGAUUAGAUACCCCUGUAGUCC
rnacentral:rRNA from 1 species